rnacentral:rRNA from 1 species
UACGUAGGGGGGCAAGCGUUGUCCGGAUUUAUUGGGCGUAAAGAGCGUGUAGGCGGCCAGACAGGUCCGUUGUGAAAACUGGAGGCUCAACCUCCAGACGUCGAUGGAAACCGUCUGGCUAGAGUCCGGAAGAGGAGAGUGGAAUUCCUGGUGUAGCGGUGAAAUGCGCAGAUAUCAGGAAGAACACCCGUGGCGAAAGCGGCUCUCUGGGACGGUACUGACGCUGAGACGCGAAAAGCGUGGGGAGCGAACAGG